GGUCCCGCGGUGUAUGAACAUGUUAGAUUGCAAAUCUUAAGAAGCAGGUUGGAGCCUGCCGGGGCUU
rnacentral:tRNA from 1 species